rnacentral:rRNA from 1 species
AGUGAACGCUGGCGGUAGGCCUAACACAUGCAAGUCGAACGGCAGCACAGUAAGAGCUUGCUCUUACGGGUGGCGAGUGGCGGGCGGGUGAGGGAUACAUCGGAAUCUACUUUUUCGUGGGGGAUAACGUAGGGAAACUUACACUAAUACCGCAUACGACCUACGGGUGAAAGCAGGGUAUCUUCGGACCUUGCGCGAUUGAAUGAGCCGAUGUCGGAUUAGCUAGUUGGCUGGGUAAAGGCCCACCAAGGCGACGAUCCGGAGCUGGUAUGAGAGGAUAAUCCGCCACAAUGGCACUGAGCAGCGGUACAGAAUCCUACGGGAGGAAGCAGUGGGGAAUCUUGGACAAUGCGCGGAAGCCUGAACCCACCAUACCGCGUAGGUGGAGAAGGCGUUCGGGUUGUAAAGACCUUUUGUUGGGAAAGAAAAGCAGCAGGUUAAUACCCCGCUGUUCUGACGGUACCCAAAGAAUAAGCACCGGCUAACUUCGUG